rnacentral:lncRNA from 1 species
UGUGAAAUUCAAAAGUCAUAUUUAUUCACCAAUUCACAGAAAGUGUCAUAAUGACCACCAACAUGAAUCAGUUUGUAGGCAUUUACAAGCCAAGGCUGAAAAUAAAUAUCUGUGUUGAAUAGGCAUUUAACAAAUUACUUGGAAACAGCAAGAAUCCGAAUUAUUAGAAAUUUAAAGUUUGUGAUUCACACACGGGUAAGCUCACAGUCAUGGGAAGGAGCCCAGCAGAUUCCUAUGAUGGUUCUUAUUUCUUCUUAUAUCUUUAUAUACAUACAGCUUCUCGGCGCCCCUCACUGUGCGUCAGCCUUCAGUGGAUCCGACAGCUCGAUUAGGCAGGGGAGGGGAGCUGAGAGAGGGUGGGGGGAGGCGAAAGGGCAUGUUCCUCUGUGACUGGGCAAUCUUGUUCAAUGCGCAAGAUGACAGCAUGAUCUCCCGAAAUUAGAUUCAGUAUAAAUGCAUCCUUCUAAUGAGACAGUCCAGAGUUUGCCUUGUGUCACACUCAUACACACACAAUAGUAUAUUUAGUAAAUAAACCCAUUUUCUAAAUUGAAGGAAUUCACUCUGAGACAGCUGGAAGAUCUCAGAAGUCUGACAUGUGUCAGGUACACACUGGCCCAGCCAUGGAGCUGCAGAUGGCCAUGGCGAGAGGCACUCUGGCCACACUGGCAGAAACUGUCCAGACAGUAACGGUGAUCAAAGGUGAUUCUACAGAAUGAUGUUGCUGGCCCUUCCUCUGUCUAUGGUGUCAACACCACAGAGGUUCUGAGGAGAGAAAGCUCAUAGGACCUUUCCCCCACCCACUGUGGUUGG